UCGAGUAGGCUGGCAAGCCCCAGGAAGAAGGCUGGCAGUCAGAGUGGCCACUACAGCUCUCUGCAGCAGACCCUCUUCUGCCCAGGCCAGACAGCUCAGCCUUUGCCAGGUUGGCUAUUAAAAGGCCCCACUAUAUCCAGAGCAAGUUUUCCCCAGGGAUCAUUGGGAUACUCUACUGGAGUCAAGGGGGCGGUAAAAUUCUUCUGCGAUUUGUCACAUACAGCACAAGCCAUACAGUGCCUGAUUACAUUUUUGAUGUGUUUGUACAUACCUGGCCACCAAAAACAUAACAUAAUUCUUUCACUGAAUCAUACUACACAUCCUAGGAGUCAUCAGGGAAGCCAUGACAGUUCCUAUAUGAAACUGAUAAGUUUGUAGGGCAAAUAGGGCCUCAGAGUAAGACUGAGUUGUAAUUUCUCUAUUAUGGAAAUCUUUCUUCUCAGAAUCACACUAUAUCAUGAUGCAGCAUCAUUCUGAGAUGACAUCUUACAACAACAACAAAAGAUGUUCCCAAUUUUCCCCCAGAAGCCACUCAUAAUGAUAUUGUGUCAUGUUGCUACAUAGUAUUGGUCUAGGGCUUCCUGGGGGGCAACACGAUGGAUGCCAGCAAGUACCUGUCAGGAGGACCAUCACCAUUGCAAAAGAGGGCAGGAAUAUGCUUGAGCAGCAGCGGCCGGUAUGGGCACUGCCAGGGGGGCAGCGAGAGGCACCUUUAAGUGUAAAUUAAUAGGUGCUUACCUCCACUACUGCCACACCAGAAUGCUUCUCUGAGCUGCACCCCCUGCAGUGGGGAAUUGCCUCCACCAGCUCUCCUCUCCCCACCAUUAUGAUAUAGUGUCAUUCCAAGAAAAAAUGACAGCCUCCUCAAAUUUCUGACACUUACAAAACUGCACCAGCAUCAAACAAAUCAAUCCAGAAUGUAAAGUCAAAUGAUGACUCAGAUUAAAUAAUAACUUAGUUCCAGAUUCCAACAGGUGACUUGCAACAUAAUCAUUUGCCAUGGAGACUGUGUUCUAACACAUUCUGACUUUCCAUAGAAGAAAGAUGUAAUCGUCAGCUUUACUUCCUGAAGAUAAGUAGGUCAAAGCACUCUUGCGUCUGCAGAGCUUAACCAUACACAACAGAAACCUGCAGGAAUGUCUGAUAUGUAUGCCCUGCUGAGCAGAACUAUUGUGGAGCCCUGGGAAGAAUGUUAGGCUUGGAUGUGAGGCCCAGGUUCAAAUUUCUCCUUGAACACAAAGCUCAACAUUUCUAUCUAACAUACCACACAUUUUUUCAAGGUUAAAUCAAUAGGAGGGCUGGGGCAGUCACCUCAGGAGACGCAUCUGAGGGCACCAUUAAAGGGCAGCACAUAGACAAUUAUUUACUAUUGCACUUUACUGCCAAGCGGAGAGAAAUUUUCUGCCUCAGACACCAAAAUAUUCCAAGUAAUCAACGGAAAUCAUGAAGCACUUUGCAUGAUAAGAAUGUAUCACAGAAAUGUUAACAAUAAAACACACUGGUGAUUUUGUUUUGA